AUAAAAUUUGUUUCUGAAUGAAUGUAAACAUUACAUGUUAGGCUAAGGGCAUUGCUACUUUUUAAAACUUGAAUUUGUUUUCGUUUUGUUACGUACUGAUAUGAAAGUGAAAGUAGAAACCUUGUAUGUCAGUUGGCGUUAUGUAUGUUGAGAUCGUUAUCAAGUCCGGAUUCCUUCUUCAACUUAAUGACAAAUGUUUGUUUUUAUGGCCUAUAGAUGCAUUCGGCAACUUGAGUUCAGUGUCACAGUGCUGUUUUUUCAGUCCAAAGAGCCCGAAGCUGAUAAGACUGGCGAUUGAUCCUGAAGCUGAUUUGACAGACGAUUGCAUCAUCACAAUAUUGAAGGUUCAAUAUACAGUCAGCCUCUCAUAAGAUAAAGAACAAAUCCCAAGAUCCAAGGCUUGCUUUAAAGUUAAGAGACCAUUCUGAGCCACAAAGAAAUUGUUCAGGAAGAGGAGAAGUGGUGGAUAUUCAUUUUUGUUACGGUACUGUUCAAAGAGAUUUUCAAAAUGGUCAUGGAAGAUCAAAGGGAGGACAACUGAAAAAAUUGAAAGAUACAGAAGGAAAAAGAACAAGGAAAUAAAUGGAAUAAUUAUGAAAUGGGGAGGAUGUACACAAUCUUGUCUGAAUUUUAGCUGUGAAAAUUUCCCAUAUUCUUAUUGUAUGCUGAAAUAAUCAAUAACUUGAUUUUUCAUAAAUUUACAAUAGAGAAUACAUGACAAAUGUUAUUGCUGAUAUUUCAAUUUUGCUUUGGACACUUUCAUGUCAUAUGGUAUUUUUAUACAUGAACUAAAUAUGUU